GACGAACGCUGGCGGCGUGCUUAACACAUGCAAGUCGAGCGAGGCCCACCUUUCGGGGUGGUGUCCUAGCGGCGAACGGGUGAGUAACACGUGGGCAACCUGCCCCCGGCUCGGGGAUAACCCCAAGAAAUUGGGGCUAAUACCGGAUACGACCGCUGACCGCAUGGUCUGGUGGUGGAAAGAUUUAUCGGCUGGGGAUGGGCCCGCGGCCUAUCAGCUUGUUGGUGGGGUAGUGGCCUACCAAGGCGACGACGGGUAGCCGGCCUGAGAGGGUGACCGGCCACACUGGGACUGAGACACGGCCCAGACUCCUACGGGAGGCAGCAGUGGGGAAUAUUGCGCAAUGGGCGAAAGCCUGACGCAGCGACGCCGCGUGGGGGAUGACGGCCUUCGGGUUGUAAACCUCUUUCAGCAGGGACGAAGCCCGCAAGGGUGACGGUACCUGCAGAAGAAGCACCGGCCAACUACGUGCCAGCCGCCGCCGUAA
rnacentral:rRNA from 1 species